rnacentral:rRNA from 1 species
GAUGAACGCUGGCGGAGUGCCUAAUACAUGCAAGUCGAGCGAACGGACGAGAAGCUUGCUUCUCUGAUGUUAGCGGCGGACGGGUGAGUAACACGUGGAUAACCUACCUAUAAGACUGGGAUAACUUCGGGAAACCGGAGCUAAUACCGGAUAAUAUUUUGAACCGCAUGGUUCAAAAGUGAAAGACGGUCUUGCUGUCACUUAUAGAUGGAUCCGCGCUGCAUUAGCUAGUUGGUAAGGUAACGGCUUACCAAGGCAACGAUGCAUAGCCGACCUGAGAGGGUGAUCGGCCACACUGGAACUGAGACACGGUCCAGACUCCUACGGGAGGCAGCAGUAGGGAAUCUUCCGCAAUGGGCGAAAGCCUGACGGAGCAACGCCGCGUGAGUGAUGAAGGUCUUCGGAUCGUAAAACUCUGUUAUUAGGGAAGAACAUAUGUGUAAGUAACUGUGCACAUCUUGACGGUACCUAAUCAGAAAGCCACGGCUAACUACGUG